UGACAAGUGCAACUUCGUCGCACUUUUUCUCCGUCAAAUAUGAAAAACACUAUUCGUACCACGGACUAAAAGUCUUUUUUAGCGUGUUUCAUUCCAGACCUCACUGUCGGCUCUGUUUGGAAACCUGUCACCCACUAAAAAAGACUUUUAGUCC